rnacentral:rRNA from 1 species
GAGUUUGAUCAUGGCUCAGGAUGAACGCUAGCGGGAGGCCUAACACAUGCAAGCCGAGCGGUAGAGAUUCUUCGGAAUCUUGAGAGCGGCGUACGGGUGCGGAACACGUGUGCAACCUACCUUUAUCUGGAGGAUAGCCUUUCGAAAGGAAGAUUAAUACUCCAUAAUAUAUUGAUUGGCAUCAAUUGAUAUUGAAAGCUCCGGCGGAUAGAGAUGGGCACGCGCAAGAUUAGUUAGUUGGUGAGGUAACGGCUCACCAAGACGAUGAUCUUUAGGGGCCUGAGAGGGUGAUCCCCCACACUGGUACUGAGACACGGACCAGACUCCUACGGGAGGCAGCAGUGAGGAAUAUUGGUCAAUGGGUGCAAGCCUGAACCAGCCAUCCCGCGUGAAGGACGACUGCCCUAUGGGUUGUAAACUUCUUUGUAUAGGGAUAAACCUACCCUCGUGAGGGUAGCUGAAGGUACUAUACGAAUAAGCACCGGCUAACUCCGUG